CCUACGGGAGGCAGCAGUGGGGAAUAUUGCACAAUGGGCGCAAGCCUGAUGCAGCCAUGCCGCGUGUGUGAAGAAGGCCUUCGGGUUGUAAAGCACUUUCAGCGGGGAGGAAGGCGGUGAGGUUAAUAACCUCAUCGAUUGACGUUACCCGCAGAAGAAGCACCGGCUAACUCCGUGCCAGCAGCCGCGGUAAUACGGAGGGUGCAAGCGUUAAUCGGAAUUACUGGGCGUAAAGCGCACGCAGGCGGUCUGUCAAGUCGGAUGUGAAAUCCCCGGGCUCAACCUGGGAACUGCAUUCGAAACUGGCAGGCGAGAGUCUUGUAGAGGGGGGUAGAAUUCCAGGUGUAGCGGUGAAAUGCGUAGAGAUCUGGAGGAAUACCGGUGGCGAAGGCGGCCCCCUGGACAAAGACUGACGCUCAGGUGCGAAAGCGUGGGGAGCAAACAGGAUUAGAUACCCUAGUAGUC
rnacentral:rRNA from 1 species